GGCUGGGCGGCCGGCCGCCACCUGGGCCGGAGCGCGUCGCAGCCACCUGAGCCCGCCGAGGGCGCGGCGGAGGCUGUGUGGGGUAGUCAGCGGGCCCCCGGGGCGGGGGGGCGGCUGCGCUUGCGCGGGAGUGUGUCGGGCUGAGCCGCAGCGCCGAGACGCGGGCUGUUUGAUCUGGGCUGGUGGCCCUGGGCGUCGGUCCUGUUCCCCGAUGGUAACCCGAAGUUUGUUUUUUUUUGUUUUGUCUCCCCGU
rnacentral:lncRNA from 1 species